rnacentral:rRNA from 1 species
UACGUAGGGGGCUAGCGUUGUCCGGAUUUAUUGGGCGUAAAGAGCGUGUAGGCGGCCAGGUAGGUCCGUUGUGAAAACUCGAGGCUCAACCUCGAGAGGUCGGUGGAAACCGUCUGGCUAGAGUCCGGAAGAGGAGAGUGGAAUUCCCGGUGUAGCGGUGAAAUGCGCAGAUAUCGGGAAGAACACCCGUGGCGAAGGCGGCUCUCUGGGACGGUACUGACGCUGAGACGCGAAAGCGUGGGGAGCGAACAGG